UAUACAUGACUCUGCGCAUAUCAAUAAGCGGAGGAAAAGAAACUAACAAGGAUUCCCCUAGUAACGGCGAGUGAAGCGGGAAGAGCUCAAAUUUGAAAUCUUAAAGGGGUUUCCCUUUACGAAUUGUAGUUUAAAGAAGUGUUUUCUGUUGAGGUUUUGGUAAAAGUUCUUUGGAAUAGGACAUCAUAGAGGGUGAGAAUCCCGUAUUUGACCUUUACUUUCAACUUUGUGAUACACUUUCAAAGAGUCGGAUUGUUUGGGAAUGCAGUCCAAAAUGGGUGGUAAAUUUCAUCUAAAGCUAAAUAUUGGCGAGAGACCGAUAGCGAACAAGUACCGUGAGGGAAAGAUGAAAAGAACUUUGAAAAGAGAGUUAAACAGUACGUGAAAUUGUCAAAAGGGAAGCGUUUGACACCAGUGUUGUUUUUCUGAAAAUCAAUUAAAGAACUGUUUAUGCUAAGUUGUUUAGACUUUAUCAGCUAACUGUUUAGUUUUGAGCUUUUCUUUAAUGCACUUUUCAGUUAACAAGUCAACAUCAAUUUCUUUUGCUGUAAAAAAGCUUGAGGAAGGUGGCUUGAGAUUCGUCUUAAGUGUUUAUAGCCUCUUGCCUCUGCAGUCGGAGAGACUGAGGUCUGCAGCGUAGACUCUUCGGGGCUAAAUGCAUUUGUGCUAAGUUAUAGCAUUUUAUAGACAACUUGUUGACUAUGAUUUGUCUUGUAGCUUACUCGCUUAUGUUAUUUUACCUACGCUUAGGAUGUUGACAGCAGUAUAGACUGU
rnacentral:rRNA from 1 species